GCCGCCGUAGCUCAGUGGUCGAGCAUCGGACGCGUUAUUCGAAGGUCGCAGGUUCGAUCCCUGCCGGCGGCA
rnacentral:tRNA from 1 species